UACGGGGGGGGCAAGCGUUGUUCGGAAUUACUGGGCGUAAAGGGCGCGUAGGCGGCCAUCUAAGUCAGACGUGAAAUCCCUCGGCUCAACCGAGGAACUGCGUCUGAUACUGGAAGGCUUGAAUCCGGGAGAGGGAUGCGGAAUUCCAGGUGUAGCGGUGAAAUGCGUAGAUAUCUGGAGGAACACCGGUGGCGAAGGCGCUCUGCUGGACCAUAACUGACACUCAGGGACGAAAGCUAGGGGAGCGAACGGG
rnacentral:rRNA from 1 species